CCAAACUUGGUCAUUUAGAGGAAGUAAAAGUCGUAACAAGGUCUCCGUUGGUGAACCAGCGGAGGGAUCAUUACCGAGUUUACAACUCCCAAACCCAUGUGAAUCUUACCUUUACGUUCCCUCGGCGGCGUUCCCCUCGUGGGUUCCCGCCAGAGGACCAAACCAAACUCUUUGAAUUUAUUAGUAUUAUUCUGAGUGAUUUUAUAAAUAAAUCAAAACUUUCAACAACGGAUCUCUUGGUUCUGGCAUCGAUGAAGAACGCAGC
rnacentral:misc_RNA from 1 species